UUUUUAAAAAGCGUCAUGCCCUAGUCUGAUGCAGCCCCCGCACCAGGCCCUAUAUGGGAGCAAGGUGAGCAAGGGCUCAGGGGAAGCCACUCCCCUCCCCUUGGUCUGCUACAAAUUGCCCAGGUCCUGCCCUCAGACUCCUAGCAGUUGAAAAUUGUUGAACUUGGUUGCUCCAACGAGCUUCUUCCAGAUCUUCAGUGUAAUAGACACAGCCAAUCUGGAUUGAGGACUGGAGUCUACACCGCCGUGAACCACUGGAGUUGUCAGAUGAAGGUGGCAGAAUGGAGAGAAGUAUCAGGCAUAAGCUACAGUCAUAUAAACCUUGAUACAGAUGUGAAUUGCAGCAGGAAGCCAAGAAAAGACCCAACUCUGGUUUGAAGACCCUGGGGAAGAGUUGCAAAAAUAACACCUGCAGGUGUGGAAGGCUGUUCAGUGAUCCCCGGUGUGCAGAAGGCCAUGAAGAAAUUAUGAGAUUAGAGAUCGAGAGAGUGACGGCAGCUGCCUUUCAGCAGCUUUCCCCUGUUGCCUCGAGAAUAAUUCAACUCUAGCAGACUUACUUAAGGCCUGGGAAAAUAGUGCAAAGUGAAGAAAGGGAUAGAAAUGGUUGUUAUUUGCCCUAGGGUGAGAGGAAGUGUUUGAGCUUUCCCUAGGAUAUUGAGAAGUACAUGGCUGAGCAAAUCAUAUUUGGAAAGUAGGAGAACAUACUUCUGUACUUUGCAUUUUUCUAGGAGAAAAAAUGAAUCUACCUAAACAUUGAGAGCAUCUUAGGUAAUUUAUGGGGA
rnacentral:lncRNA from 1 species